rnacentral:antisense_RNA from 1 species
CGGACGGUGAACUCCCACUUGGCGUCCUUGUCGCAGGCCAGCAUCCGGCCGCCGAAGGAGUCGCCGUCGGCGAGCAUCCCCAGUCGCGUCUCGGCGUCGUCGUACUUGGCCUUGCCGAGCUUCUCCACCUUGCCGUGGGCGAUCAGGAAGACCUGGUCGGCCUUGCGGCCGCUCUCCACGAUCACCUGACCGGCGUCGAACUCCUUCUGGACGAACUUGUCGGCCAGCGCCGCCAGCGCGGUGGGGUCGCUGAACCCGCGCAGCAGCGGCAGUUCGCCCAGCUCCGCCGGUACGACCUGCACCUUGGACCCGGUCUGGACGAACGUCACCCGGCCGUCCCCGACCGCGUACGACAGCCGUCGGUUGACCCGGUAGGUGCCGCCGGGGGUGUGGACCCAGGGGAGCUUGCGCAGCAGCCAGCGGGAGCUGAUCUCCUGCAUCUGCGGCUGGGACUUGGUGGUGGUCGCGAGGUUGCGCGCCGCCUUGGUGCUGAGGCUCAGCUGUACGGA